CCUACGGGAGGCAGCAGUGAGGAAUAUUGGUCAAUGGCCGGAAUCCUGAACCAGCCAAGCCGCGUGAAGGAAGACGGUGCUAAGGGUUGUAAACUUCUUUUGUCAGGGGACAAAAUCAGGGUCGAGAGCCUGACCGAGUGUACCUGAAGAAAAAGCAUCGGCUAACUCCGUGCCAGCAGCCGCGGUAAUACGGAGGAUGCGAGCGUUAUCCGGAUUUAUUGGGUUUAAAGGGUGCGUAGGCGGGCCGUUAAGUCAGCGGUAAAAGUGCGGGGCUCAACCCCGUCGAGCCGUUGAAACUGGCAGUCUUGAGAUGGCGAGAGGUACGCGGAAUGCGCGGUGUAGCGGUGAAAUGCUUAGAUAUUGCGCAGAACUCCGAUUGCGAAGGCAGCAUACCGGCGGCGAUCUGACGCUGAGGCACGAAAGCGUGGGGAUCGAACAGGAUUAGAUACCCUAGUAGUC
rnacentral:rRNA from 1 species